UCUUCUACAGGAUUCCAGGAAACCAAACGUACCCACAGCAGACUGUCCGAUAGAGACAGGAGAAGGAGGCAGGGAGGGCAUCAACCUCCCGUUUCUUGGAAAGAAAUAGCUUCUCUAGACUGCCUGCUGUAAGUGGCCAUUCCCCCAGAACGUUAUGCUCCAUUGAAAUUACUUAAAUAAACAACUUUGGGUUUUGUUUUGUAAAACGCAGGGUUUCAUGUAUCUCAGACUGGCCUCAAACUUCUUACAUAACCUUGAACCCCUGAGCAGCACAACUACCUCCUGAGUGCUGCUUCUCACCACCUUUAACUCGGGUUCAUAACUCCAGACGAAAAAAAAGGCCGUGUCCAGUCCUCUCGAGAUUAGGGAUGAACUUUAAUUAAUUAAUUUGUAUUCAAUCCCGCAAAAUGUGGCGAUCCCCUUUCAAACGUCGUGCAUAGGGAUAAGAAGAGAUGCAUAUAAAACAGCCAGAAUGAAGGAUCCUUAGCAAGGCGGCAGGGCAUUCGGGUUUGGACAAGAAACUCACGGCUGCUCAGCAGCCUCCUGACAUCUUCACACACUACCUGAAUUGGCCAGCAGAGGGCGACGAGGGAGCCGUCAAGCACCACAUGGAGCCACACCCAGAUCAUGGUUGCUUUAUUUCAGUGUCCCUUCCUGAGUUCUCAAAAAGACUCGAAAUGAGAAAUUCUUGUAAGAGAAAAAAGAAUGAGAGAAAUCGGAACAAUCUUUUUAUUGAGAUAAUUGCAUAAACAUACAACUGGGCAUUUUCAACCUGGAGGAAUUUCUCUUCAGCAUCAUGCGACGGUCCUGCCUACUCCCCAAACUUCACACCAUCUGAUCCAGGGUUAAAGUUACAACUGGAAAAACAAAACCAUCUGGGUCCUUCAGUUCUUCCUCUGGCACGUCUACAGUUGCGGAAGACAGUGAGCACACAUACUGUUCACCAGCUCUGAAUGUUAAUAAAAAUUAGCAAAUUA